rnacentral:misc_RNA from 1 species
GGCUCACUCUGCAUUACCCAGUGGUAAGCAUCUAGUGAAAUACUUCUUAUGCUUUCUACAUACCUCUGGAAGCCUUCAGGCUUUGGUGCAUAAGCCGCACCGUAAAAAUCCUCAACCAAAAGGCGCUUGACUUCAUGAGAAAAUUGCCCUCUUACAUCUCUGAUAAGUUGUUCAGAGAGAUAGCGUAGACAGUAGCCAUGAAAGACAUCCUCAC